rnacentral:rRNA from 1 species
GACGAACGCUGGCGGCGUGCUUAACACAUGCAAGUCGAACGGAAAGGCCCUGCUUUUGUGGGGUGCUCGAGUGGCGAACGGGUGAGUAACACGUGAGUAACCUGCCCUUGACUUUGGGGUAACUUCAGGAAACUGGGGCUAAUACCGGAUAGGAGCUCCUGCUGCAUGGUGGGGGUUGGAAAGUUUCGGCGGUUGGGGAUGGACUCGCGGCUUAUCAGCUCGUUGGUGGGGUAGUGGCUUACCAAGGCUUUGACGGGUAGCCGGCCUGAGAGGGUGACCGGCCACAUUGGGACUGAGAUACGGCCCAGACUCCUACGGGAGGCAGCAGUGGGGAAUAUUGCACAAUGGGCGGAAGCCUGAUGCAGCAACGCCGCGUGCGGGAUGACGGCCUUCGGGUUGUAAACCGCUUUCGCCUGUGACGAAGCGUGAGUGACGGUAAUGGGUAAAGAAGCACCGGCUAACUACGUG